GACAGAGGCCUCGAGCGUUAGGCGGAAUCACUGGGCUUAAAGCGUGUGUAGGCGGGCCCGUAAGUGUCUUGUGAAAUCCCACGGCUUAACCGUGGAACUGCUGGGCAUACUGCGGGUCUUGGGCCAACUAGGGGCAGCCGGAACAAGCGGUGGAGCGGUGAAAUGCGUAGAUAUCGCUUGGAACGCCGAAGGUGAAAACAGGCUGCUGGGGUUGCGCCGACGCUGAGACACGAAAGCCAGGGGAGCAAACGGG
rnacentral:rRNA from 1 species